rnacentral:rRNA from 1 species
AGUGAACGCUGGCGGUAUGCCUAACACAUGCAAGUCGAACGGCAGCACAGUAAUUGCUUGCUCUUACGGGGGGCGAGUGGCGGAUGGGUGAGGAAUACAUCGGAAUCUACUUUUUCGUGGGGGUUAACGUAGGGAAACUUACCCUAAUACCGCAUACGACCUACAGGUUAAAGCAGUGGAUCUUCUGAGCUUGCUCGGUUGAAUUAGCCGAUGUCGGAUUAGCUAGUUAGCGGGGUAAAGGCCCACCAAGGCGACGAUCCGUAGCUGGUCUGAGAGGAUGGUCAGCCAGACUGGAACGGAGACACGGCACAGGCUCAUACGGGAGGGGGCAGUAGGGAAUAUGGGAGCAAGGGUGCAGGCCUGAUCAAGCCAUACCGCGAGGGUGAAGAAGGCAUUCGGGGUGUAAAGUCAUUUUGUUCGGAAAGAAAAGCAGUAGGUGAAUACCCGGCUGUUCUGACGGUACCAAAAGAAUAAGCACCGGCUAACUUCGUG